ACGUAGGGGGCAAGCGUUGAUCGGAAUCACUGGGCUUACAGCGCGUGUAGGCGGUGCGGCAAGUCUUCUGUGAAAGCCCCCGGCUCAACCGGGGAAUUGCAGGGGAAACCGGCGGGCUUGAGGACGGUAGAGGGGACCGGAACUUGCUGUGUAGCGGUGAAAUGCGUAGAUAUAGGACGGAACGUCAGUGGUGAAGGCGGCUCCCUGGGCCUAUACUGACGCUGAGGUGCGAAAGCGUGGGGAGCAAACAG
rnacentral:rRNA from 1 species